rnacentral:rRNA from 1 species
GAAAGUAAGCAAGGGCAGACGGUGGAUGCCUUGGCUCUCGGAGGCGACGAAGGACGUGAUAAGCUGCGAAAAGCUCGGGGGAGGCGCAAAUAGCCGUUGAUCCCGGGAUAUCCGAAUGGGGCAACCCGGCAGGCUGAAGGCCUGCCAUCCCGUAAGGGAGGCGAACGUGGGGAACUGAAACAUCUAAGUACCCAUAGGAGGAGAAAAUAAACAAUGAUUCCGUAAGUAGUGGCGAGCGAACACGGAAGAGCCCAAACCCGUGCCGUCUAGGCGACACGGGGGUUGUAGGACCACGACGUGGCAAGAUAGAGUCAAGUGGAACGCCUUGGAAAAGGCGGUCAUAGAGGGUGAAAACCCCGUACACGACUGACGAUUGAAGCCUAGUGGCAUCCUGAGUAGCGCGGGGCACGAGAAAUCUUGCGUGAAACUGCGGGGCCCAUCCCGUAAGGCUAAAUACUCCCGAGAGACCGAUAGCGAACCAGUACCGUGAGGGAAAGGUGAAAAGAACCCCGAGCAGGGGAGUGAAAUAGACCCUGAACCCGUCUGCCUACAAGCGGUCGGAGCGUCGUAAUGACGUGACGGCGUGCCUUUUGCAUAAUGAACCUACGAGUUACCUUCCCCGGCAAGGUUAAGUACCUAAGGUACGGAGCCGAAGCGAAAGCGAGUCUGAAUAGGGCGGCCAGUCGGGGGGGGUAGACGCGAAACCGAGUGAUCUACCCUUGGCCAGGUUGAAGGUUGGGUAACACCAACUGGAGGACCGGAUGGGUAAGCGUUGAAAAGCUUUCCAAUGAGCUGAGGGUAGGGGUGAAAGGCUAAUCAAACUCGGAGAUAGCUCGUACUCCCCGAAAUGCAUUUAGGUGCAGCCUCUUUAUAGUAUAUCGUGAGGUAGAGCGACUGAUUGGAUGCGAGGGCUUCACCGCCUAUCAAGUCCAGAUAAACUCCGAAUGCGCGAUAUAUAUUUACAGGGAGUGAGGGCGCGGGUGCUAAGGUCCGUGUCCGAGAGGAGAAGAAUCCAGACCACCGGCUAAGGCCCCCAAAUGAUCGUUGAGUUGAACUAACGAGGUCGGAUCGCAGAGACAGCUAGGAUGUUGGCUUGGAAGCAGCCAUUCAUUUAAAGAGUGCGUAACAGCUCACUAGUCGAGCGAUCUGGCGUGGAUAAUAAUCGGGCAUAAACGAUCUGCCGAAGCCGUGGAUGUCGCAAGACAUGGUAGGGGAGCAUUCCAUGCGGCGUCGAAGAUGAGGGAUGACCCUUGUUGGAGCGCAUGGAAAAGCAAAUGUAGGUAUGAGUAACGAUAAGGGGGGCGAGAAACCCCCCCGCCGAAAGACCAAGGUUUCCUGAUCAACGCUAAUCGGAUCAGGGUGAGUCGGGACCUAAGGCAAAGCCGAACGGCGACGCCGAUGGAAGAAUGGGUUAAUAUUCCCAUACUGCCUCAUGGAGUGACGUGGAGACGGAGAAGUGACAGUCCUGCCGGCUGACGGAAUAGCCGGUUGAAGGGUGUAGAUAUUGAUUCCCGUAGGCAAAUCCGCGGGGAGAGUCGAACCUGACAGUAUACCGAGUACUUGUACGAGGUAAUAUGGACGUAACCAUGCUCCCGAGAAAAUCCGCUAAACUUAUCCAUGCGGCACCCGUACCGUAAACGGACACACGUGGUCGGGUUGAGAAUACUGAGGCGCUCGAGUGACUCACGGUUAAGGAACUAGGCAAAUUGACCCUGUAACUUCGGGAUAAAGGGUCCUCGUCGUAAGGCGAGGCGCAGAGAAUAGGUCCAGGCAACUGUUUAACAAAAACACAUGGCUGUGCUAAAUGGAAACAUGACGUAUACAGCCUGACACCUGCCCGGUGCUGGAAGGUUAAGAGGAGAUGUCAUCGCGAGAGAAGCGUUGAAUUGAAGCCCCAGUAAACGGCGGCCGUAACUAUAACGGUCCUAAGGUAGCGAAAUUCCUUGUCG